GAGGCUGGGGGAGGGUAGCGGAGCCGGCGCCACCGCCAUGUUGAGUCUGAGGCGGCUGCUGUAGGCGCCGACGGAGCAGGCGGGCGUGCGGAGCGGCCACAGCGGCGUGGGAUCUGCCUCUCUGCGAGCGGCCCAGAGAGGCGGCGGCGGCAGCGCCAUGAGCGGGGGCACCCCUUACAUCGGCAGCAAGAUCAGCCUUAUCUCUAAGGCGGAGAUCCGCUACGAGGGCAUCCUCUACACUAUCGACACCGAGAACUCUACCGUAGCUCUCGCCAAAGUUCGGUCCUUUGGUACAGAAGACAGACCAACAGAUCGUCCAAUACCACCUCGAGAUGAAGUCUUUGAAUACAUUAUAUUCCGUGGGAGUGAUAUUAAAGACCUCACUGUUUGUGAGCCACCAAAACCACAAUGUUCUUUGCCUCAGGACCCAGCUAUUGUUCAGUCUUCACUAGGCUCAUCUACUUCUUCAUUCCAGUCAGUGGGCUCCUAUGGACCUUUUGGCAGGAUGCCCACAUACAGUCAGUUCAGUGCAAGUUCAUUAGUGGGGCAGCAGUUUGGUGCUGUUGGUGUUGCUGGAAGCUCUUUGACAUCCUUUGGAACAGAAGCACCAAACAGCGGUACCCUAUCCCAAAGUAGUGCAGUUGGUUCUGCCUUUACACAGGACACAAGAUCUCUAAAAACACAGUUAUCUCAAGGUCGUUCAAGCCCUCAGUUAGACCCUUUGAGAAAAAGCCCAACCAUGGAACAAGCAGUACAGACCGCCUCGGCCCACUUACCUGCUCCGGCACCUGUUGGGAGGAGGAGCCCUGUAUCAACCAGGCCUUUACCAUCUACCAGCCAAAAAGCAAUAGAGAAUCAAGAGCACAGGCGAGCUGAAGUACACAAAGUUUCAAGACCAGAAAAUGAGCAACUCAGAAAUGAUAGCAAGAGACAAAUAGUUCCAGGUGCUCCUUCAGCUCCAAGGAGAGGGCGUGGGGGUCAUCGAGGUGGCAGGGGAAGAUUUGGUAUUCGACGAGAUGGUCCGAUGAAAUUUGAGAAAGACUUUGACUUUGAAAGUGCAAAUGCACAAUUUAACAAGGAGGAAAUUGACAGAGAGUUUCAUAAUAAACUUAAAUUGAAAGAAGAUAAACUUGAGAAACAGGAGAAGCCUGUAAAUGGUGAAGAUAAAGGAGACUCAGGAGUUGAUACCCAAAACAGUGAAGGAAAUGCAGAUGAAGAAGAUCCACUUGGACCUAAUUGCUAUUAUGACAAAACUAAAUCCUUCUUUGAUAAUAUUUCUUGUGAUGAUAAUAGAGAACGGAGACCAACCUGGGCUGAAGAAAGAAGAUUAAAUGCAGAAACAUUUGGAAUACCACUUCGUCCAAACCGUGGCCGUGGAGGGUACAGAGGCAGAGGAGGUCUUGGUUUCCGUGGUGGCCGAGGGCGUGGUGGUGGCCGAGGUGGUACGUUCACCACCCCUCGAGGAUUUCGUGGUGGAUUCAGAGGAGGUCGUGGGGGCAGGGAGUUUGCAGAUUUUGAAUAUAGGUGAGGCUGAAGUUCCAUCAGUGUGGCUAGCCGUUGAUUGUCCAUUCCAUAGCUGAAUGAUCCUUCUGUCUGCCGCUAGAUCCCUGACAUUCUCAACAGCCUAUGCCUUCUAAAUCAUAUCAUCUGCUGCCUUUACAUACGAAAAUAAAAGACAACAAAGUUGCUGCAUAGUCUACAAACAAGUCUUUGAAAGUAGUUGGAUUUCUAGCUCUUCAUGUUCCUGAGAAUUGGUUUCAAUCUAUGCGAAGAAUGAAGAAGUGAUUUUGCUGUAUAUUUGUCACCAGCACUGGGUUUUUGUUUGUUUUCCUGCUUAAUUUCAAAGAUACAAUGCAGUUACUUUUCGGGGGGGGUGGGGGGACGCUCAUCUUAAAAAAUGAGCAUUAAAUAUAUUUGGAAUAGCAGAAGGCUAAGUAAUUUCUUAUGUAUAGUUAAACUAAAGCAGUACUCCAGUGGGACUUAAUAAGUAUUUUUUCAUCACUGAAAGGGUUUUUCUUAUCACUAAAUUGUAUUUGGCAAUUAUUGCAAGUUUCCUGCAGAUAGGGCCGUGAUACUGUGUUUUGAGCCAGAGGAGGAUGUGUGUGUGGGUGUGAGUGUGUGUGUGUGUGUGUGUUUAUUUCUUUCUUUUUGGAAAUCCUGUAAUAUCCCUUUUGAGGUAGCUUAUUUUGUCAAUUAAUUAGGGUGCUGGAUGGUAGAGAAUUUUGUCAGUAAACGAUGUAUACACAGUAAAUACUGUUUCUUAGGCAAAGGUAACUUUUUUAUAUAGUUGUAAAAUUCCAUUAUAUUCCAUUGCCAAAGAAACAUUAAGAACUUUGUAUAGCUGUAUAAAAAGCAACUAAUUUUUUAAAGAAUAAACAUUUUAAAGUCAGCAAACAUACUGUGUUCUUUCAGAAGUUGAUGUGCUGAGGAAGAGCUAUGGGUGGGUCUUUUCUUCAUAGCUUUCCAGGCUUAACGAUUUUUGAUUUUUUUUUUUUUUAAUGUUUGGAACAUAAAUGAAGAUUUGAUACAUUCUUCCAUUAUCUAAAAAGGAUAAAUUACUCACGCUCAUUGUAAGAACUUUAUUUUGUAGCAAAUGGCAUAUCACAGGAUUUAUCCAAAUAACAGAUAUUUUCAGUAUACAAAUGUAAAUAAUCAUAGAUAAGAAUGUACUUAACUGUAUUUUCAAAUAAGUACCUCCCCUCCUUUUUUAAGACAAUAAAACUGAGUGUCAACUAACCUGUUCUUCCUGAUAUGCCUGGAAGUUUGUUGUGAUACCCUGACUUACUCCAUUAUAUUUCAGGAUUCAGAGCAUUAGAAAUUAUUUUGGCAACCUACAGGAUAAUGUAACACUGGUCCUUCGGCCUCUGACCCACAAAUGACUCAGUAUAGAGUUCAUUGCUAAUUAUAAAUUACCGGUAAAUCUUUUUGUCAUUUUAGGCUAUAGUGGGAAAAAUCUGGCCGUUUUUGUGUUUUUCUGAAGGCCAUGGAAUAAAAGAAUCCAAAGAUUUAAA